rnacentral:sRNA from 2 species
GGAAAAUAUCCCAAGGACUAAUCUGAUCGGGUCUUCCUUCAUGAAGCAAACAUGUAGAAAGGGGUGGACCUUUCCCACAAGAGCCACAUUUCUUCCCUUG